UACAGAGGUCUCAAGCGUUGUUCGGAUUCAUUGGGCGUAAAGGGUGCGUAGGUGGCGCUGUAAGUCGGGUGUGAAAUUUCGGAGCUUAACUCCGAAACUGCAUUCGAUACUGCGGUGCUUGAGGACUGGAGAGGAGACUGGAAUUCAUGGUGUAGCAGUGAAAUGCGUAGAGAUCAUGAGGAAGACCAGUGGCGAAGGCGGCUUUCUGGCCUGCUCUUGACGCUGAGGCGCGAAAGCUAGGGUAGCAAACGGG
rnacentral:rRNA from 1 species